rnacentral:rRNA from 1 species
CUAAACUCCGUGCCAGCAGCCGCGGUAAUACGGAGGGUGCGAGCGUUAAUCGGAAUUACUGGGCGUAAAGCGCAUGCAGGUGGUUUGUUAAGUCAGAUGUGAAAGCCCGGGGCUCAACCUCGGAAUUGCAUUUGAAACUGGCAAACUAGAGUACUGUAGAGGGGGUAGAAUUUCAGGUGUAGCGGUGAAAUGCGUAGAGAUCUGAAGGAAUACCGGUGGCGAAGGCGGCCCCCUGGACAGAUACUGACACUCAGAUGCGAAAGCGUGGGGAGACAAACAGGAUUAGAUACCCUGGUAG